AGGAUCGAAUGCUGUUAGAGAUAGUCCAGCUGGUGGUUAGCACUUAAUAGGAAUAUGUUUGGUAGAAUAAUUCUGUUAUAGGACUAGUGCGUAUCAGUUAUCCUUGUCGGGUGUGUGUCUGUAGCAUCUCGAAUGCUCUAAUGAAAGCUAUAUAUUGAGCCACGAUUGUAUGAAAAGGCAGAAAAGAAAAUACAAGUUCCUUUCCAUUUCUUCCUUCUUGUGAUAUGGAGGUUCUAGCCCUUGAAGUUAGGCUUUUUUUCUUCUCUGUUUUGUUCUGGUUCAUAACAACACCACACCACAUGGAAAUCACACAAUUAUAAUCAAACAAGGACUCACAUACACAACGGAAGCACGUCAAAUUUUCCAUGUGGCACCGAAUUGUGCGAAGCACAUGCGUACAAACUCCAUAUCCGGAUUGAUUCCAGUUCCAAACUCUCCCUUGGGAAGGAUUGGAGCACCAGAUUUGUGAGUUGUAAGGAUGCUUUUGACCACAUACUCAGUGCCAACUUCAGUCAUCUGAACCUCAAUUAUUACCAUCAGAUCUACUUGCACAACACUCUUUCUUCCUUUCACAGAAACAAAUUAAUUAAUCUAACUAAAUGUUUCAUUUUUUUUUAUCAUGUUAUUGCUAUGAAAUAUCUAUAGGUUUGACUGAUGAUUAAUGUUUAUCGAAAAAUUUAGUUAAUCAUUUUUAGUGGAAUUAUUUUUUCUCAAUAAUGUUUUUUAUGCAACUAACAACUUGUUAUUGCAAAUAUUAAAUUAUGUGCAAAGCCAAUGAAAAAUUAAAAAUAAAAAGAAAAAGAC
rnacentral:lncRNA from 1 species